rnacentral:rRNA from 1 species
UGGGGAAUAUUGCACAAUGGUGGAAACCCUGAUGCAGCGAUGCCGCGUGAGCGAAGAAGGCCUUCGGGUCGUAAAGCUCUUUUAUGAGGGAAGAUAAUGACGGUACCUCAAUAAAAAGCCUCGGCUAAUUACGUGCCAGCAGCCGCGGUAAUACGUAGGGGGCUAGCGUUGUCCGGAAUCACUGGGCGUAAAGGGUUCGCAGGCGGAAUAACAAGUCAGAUGUGAAAGGCAUGGGCUCAACCCAUGUAAGCAUUUGAAACUGUAAUUCUUGAGAAGUGGAGAGGUAAGUGGAAUUCCUAGUGUAGCGGUGAAAUGCGUAGAUAUUAGGAGGAAUACCUGUGGCGAAGGCGACUUUCUGGCCAUAUACAGACGCUGAGGUACGAAAGAGUGGGUAGCAAACAGG